rnacentral:rRNA from 1 species
GCUUACGGCCAUAGCACCUUGAAAACACGACAUCGGGUUCGAUCUGCCAAAUUAAGCAACGUCGGGCUUGGUUAGCACUAGGAUCGGAGACUGCCUGGGAAUCCCAAGUUAUAAAAC